CGGGUGGUGGCGUGGCGGGCGGCUGGUGGUGGCGCCCGGGCAGCGCGGCGCCCCCGGCGUCGGCCCGGCUCUGGUCCGCGCCGCCUGC
rnacentral:tRNA from 1 species